UAGGGAAUCUUCGGCAAUGGACGAAAGUCUGACCGAGCAACGCCGCGUGAGUGAAGAAGGUUUUCGGAUCGUAAAACUCUGUUGUUAGAGAAGAACAAGGACGUUAGUAACUGAACGUCCCCUGACGGUAUCUAACCAGAAAGCCACGGCUAACUACGUGCCAGCAGCCGCGGUAAUACGUAGGUGGCAAGCGUUGUCCGGAUUUAUUGGGCGUAAAGCGAGCGCAGGCGGUUUCUUAAGUCUGAUGUGAAAGCCCCCGGCUCAACCGUGGAGGGUCAUUGGAAACUGGGGGAAUUGAGUGCAGAAGAGGGGAGGGGAAUUCCAUGUGUGGCGGGGAAAUGCGUAGAUAUAUGGGGGAACACCAGUGGCGAAGGCGGCUCUCUGGUCUGUAACUGACGCUGAGGCUCGAAAGCGUGGGGAGCAAACAGG
rnacentral:rRNA from 1 species